GACGAACGCUGGCGGCGUGCUUAACACAUGCAAGUCGAACGGACAGGCCCUGCUUUUGUUGGGUGCUCGAGUGGCGAACGGGUGAGUAACACGUGAGUAACCUGCCCUUGACUUUGGGAUAACUUCAGGAAACUGGGGCUAAUACCGGAUAGGAGCUCCUGCUGCAUGGUGGGGGUUGGAAAGUUUCGGCGGUUGGGGAUGGACUCGCGGCUUAUCCGCUUGUUGGUGGGGUAGUGGCUUACCAAGGCUUUGACGGGUAGCCGGCCUGUGAGGGUGACCGGCCACAUUGGGACUGAGAUACGGCCCAGACUCCUACGGGAGGCAGCAGUGGGGAAUAUUGCACAAUGGGCGGAAGCCUGAUGCAACAACGCCGCGUGCGGGAUGACGGCCUUCGGGUUGUAAACCGCUUUCGCCUGUGACGAAGCGUGAGUGACGGUAAUGGGUAAAGAAGCACCGGCUAACUACGUG
rnacentral:rRNA from 1 species